rnacentral:rRNA from 1 species
GGACUACAAGGGUAUCUAAUCCUGUUUGCUCCCCACGCUUUCGCACCUCAGCGUCAGUAUCGGACCAGUGAGCCGCCUUCGCCACUGGUGUUCUUCCCAAUCUCUACGAAUUUCACCUCUACACUGGGAAUUCCACUCACCUCUUCCGAACUCAAGCCAAGCAGUCUUGAAGGCAAUUCCGAGGUUGAGCCUCGGGAUUUCACCCCCAACUUACCAAGCCGCCUACGUGCGCUUUACGCCCAGUAAUUCCGAACAACGCUAGCCCCCUUCGUAUUACCGCGGCUGCUGGCAC